rnacentral:rRNA from 1 species
GAUUAACGAGGGAGGCGGGAAGAACACAUGCAAGUCGAACGAUGAAACUUAACUGAUUUCUUCGGAAUGAUUUUAAGUGGAUUAGUGGAGGACGGGUGAGUAACGCGUGAGUAACCUGACUAGGUGAAGGGGAUAGCCCUUGGAAACGAAGAAUAAUACUCCAUGAUAUGAUAAUAUCUAAUGCUAUUAUCAUCAAAGAUUUAUCGCACUAAGAUGGACUUGCGUCUGAUUAGUUAGUUGGUGAGGUAACAGCUCACCAAGGCAGCGAGCAGUAGCCGGCUUGAGAGAGUGUACAGCCACAUUGAGACUGAGCCACGGCCCAUACUCGUACGAGAGGCAGCAGUUAUGAAUUUUGCACAAGGAGGGAAACCCUGAUGCGGCGACUCCGCGUGAUUUGGAAGGCCUUCGUGUUGUAAAUAUCUUUUGUAUGAGAAGAGACUGACAGUACCAUACGAAUAAGGACCGGCUAAUUACGUG